CCCUCUAAUGCAUUUGCCUUCAACGUCUGAUCCUCCAAGCCAAUCAACCACUGCAACGAGGCUAUAACCCAAUCCCCACAACUGUGUGAAUCUUGUUGUAUCGGGGUCUUCUCAUUUAACCUAUAUUUCAUCCACGUCAAACCUCGCUUUUGACGGCGCGAGCUGAUAAAGUACCCCGCCCGGUGGCAUAUAAUGGGAAACAAUGAUGUUAGUGGACUCAUCUAUUUAUCACGCAAGCUAGAAUUCAGUGUUUCUUUCCAAUCGUACGAUGAGUCCACUAACAUCAUAGUCCAUUUCAGCAAGUUAACGUGCACUACCACCCAAUGGCCGUUAAAAAAGCACGAUGCGAGAAUUACGUCAACCUCAUGCCAUGGCAAACCCCACGGAGGUCUCCCACCCCGUGCAUACUCAAGUAGCUCAUUUGGCAUAACCGCCUCACUCGGCUUAAAUGUCUUAUCGAUGCGGGAAUACU
rnacentral:lncRNA from 1 species